GUCAUAACUUUUCAGUCAGAUGAAUUUGGAGAAUAGAAUUAUUAACAUCUGUCCAGUUCAGGCAGAAUGAAACUUGUAUUUUAGGGAUGGACUUUACUUCUCCUGGAUCUUGUCAGGAGAUUAAAAAUAAAAGAUUCCCCUCCCCAAAUUCCAUUACAAAGUCAGGGCAGGUCGUAAUAUCAGAACCGAGUGAGGUAUAAAUUGCUGGGAAGCAGAGGCAGAGCUCUAGCUCAGGUCAGGGACAGCACAAGGGGAGAGUGAAGACAGAAGAGAAAACGAGCGGGGCGUCCGCUAUUUUGAGAAGCUCUUUGAAGAAUUGAAAAUCACUGAAUUGAGUCUUGGACAGUGAAUAAUAUGCUUCCAAAUGAUGGGGGAGAGGAAUGGAGUGUAAAGGAAUGGAGUUCAAGCGCCUGUAACAAAGGGAAGCAUCCGGCAGCGUGGAAACAGAUCAAGAGUGUCAUUCAAGUGGAACACAGAACAGAAAAUAACUGGAAGAGUAGACUCAUUGCUGGGUGAUAGAUUUUACUGAGUAGACGCACAUGUUUACUCAUCCCACAAUGGGAACCCUAGACAGACCAAAGCAGCACCUGCACCAGUGUUCUACUUGGGUGAACCAGGAUGCUGUUACUAGGGUUACUAACAGUGUGGUGAGCAGUUAACUGACAAGAAAUAGGAACGACUUAAAUGUAGCCACGUGAUCCAAAGGCCCGCCACAACAGAGCAAGCUGCACCUCAUGAAGACUGCAACCCUGGAGCAAUCAGGACAGCUUGCAGGCCACAGACAGGCCAGUCCUCUCCUCCGCAGCAAUGCGUCUCUACCCAGCAACUGUUUCUUCCUUUUAUAAGACUGGGAGAGACUUUCCAGAGGAUCUUCCGAGUUGUUCUUUUCCUAGGUGUGUGGCCUUUUAUUUACCUCCCAAGUCUCCGGAGCCUUUUCCUUUCUCCUGGAGGGAAUGUUUCAGUUCAGAGGAAAUUGCCUGACAGCUCCUGUACGUGCCCCUGCACCUUCCAAACUCACAGAGCGGAGUUCGUUAUGGCAUCACGUCUGUGGAGUUGGUACCAGGUUCCACGGAUUAAAGAGUUAUCCCGUUUCUCCCUACUUCUCUUGGGAUUCCCAGGCUACCCACACUUCCCAGUUAACUACAAACUUGGGGUUCCCCAGCCACCUCCCCACAGGUUCAUUAGUUCCAUUCUAUCGCCCACAGAACCCCAGAAAGUGCUUUAAUAUGAUGAGUGGUCUGCUGUAGAGUAUACAUCUCGGGGCCUUCUGAAUGGAAGGACCUAAAGAACAAGAUGUAAAGGGCUGUAGGUAGGCCAUGGUGCAAGGCUGCUCUGCUGCUCAUGAGCUGCUCACCAGAGAGAUGUUCUAUGAGCCCUGUGUUCAUCAAAGGCUCAUUAUGCAGGCAUGAUUAAGUCAUGGGCUAUGGUGACCCAACUCCUCCUCCAGCCUAUUUCCACUCCUUGGGGAAGGUUAAGGUUACUGAAAAUUUCAACCCGUUAGUCAAGGGGCUAAUUCUUCAGGUGACCAGCUCUCAUCCUCAAUCUACUUAGCUCCAGUUCUCCUCUUGGGUCCACAUUGUUAUAAAUGUGGUUCUCUGCCAGCCGGACUUUCAGUCACUCAACAGCAGCAGCACCAGGUGUGGCACGUUUCCACUCUCACUACCAGGGUAAAUUCAGUCUCAAAUAAAAAUCCGAUUGGUUUAGCGUCAUCCUUGAAAGAUGCUUUGAGGAUCAAACUGCUUUUGUCUGAGCCACUCAGAAGAUCAGCUUACCCUGGAAUUCUCUGCUGCGUCUUCAUAGUCUGCAUGAUACCCACCACUACUCUGAUUCUCAGACAGGACACCUCUUUGCGAUCACCAGCUCUCAAUUAUUUAAAUAGGUAGUUGUUCGUCAUUCAAAACGCACUAAAAGCCAAAGUUGCGUGCUGAAUUGUAUCCAGGGGCUGUCUUCAUUUGCGCCUGGCAGCUGCUGCUGCUGUUCGUUUCCUGAUGUGUCAGAAACACAUUUGUACUAUAUGAGUCUAACUGGCGCCUCACAAUGAAGCCUGCAACUUAGGGACCGGCUCAGCUGCUUCUUAGAUCCAGCA